CUUCUUACCUGGGAGGGAAGGCUGAGAUCAGUAAUGUAGCCUUCCUGGGUAAGAAGAUUAUUUAAACUCCAGGUGUGCUGCUUCUGGGGAUUCACCUGAAUGUGGAGAAGCUGACUGUAUAACUUGUAGUGAAAACUGAAUUCACACCUUUGAA
rnacentral:snRNA from 1 species